UACGGGGGGGGCAAGCGUUGUUCGGAAUUACUGGGCGUAAAGGGCUCGUAGGCGGCCAACUAAGUCAGACGUGAAAUCCCUCGGCUUAACCGGGGAACUGCGUCUGAUACUGGAUGGCUUGAGUUUGGGAGAGGGAUGCGGAAUUCCUGGUGUAGCGGUGAAAUGCGUAGAUAUCAGGAGGAACACCUGUGGUGUAGACAGCUUACUGGACCACGACUGACGCUGAGACACGAAAGCGUGGGUAGCAAACAGG
rnacentral:rRNA from 1 species